GACGAACGCUGGCGGCGUGCUUAACACAUGCAAGUCGAACGGAAAGGCCCUGCUUUUGUGGGGUGCUCGAGUGGCGAACGGGUGAGUAACACGUGAGUAACCUGCCCUCGACUUUGGGAUAACUUCAGGAAACUGGGGCUAAUACCGGAUAGGAGCUCCUGCUGCAUGGUGGGGGUUGGAAAGUUUCGGCGGUUGGGGAUGGACUCGCGGCUUAUCAGCUUGUUGGUGGGGUAGUGGCUUACCAAGGCUUUGACGGGUAGCCGGCCUGAGAGGGUGACCGGCAACAUUGGGACUGAGAUACGGCCCAGACUCCGACGGGAGGAAGGAGUGGGGAAUAUUGCACAAUGGGCGGAAGCCGAUGCAGCCACGCCGCGUGCGGGAUGACGGCCUUCGGGUUGUAAACCGCUUUCGCCUGUGACGAAGCGUGAGUGACGGUAAUGGGUAAAGAAGCACCGGCUAACUACGUG
rnacentral:rRNA from 1 species